rnacentral:rRNA from 1 species
UUGAGUCGCGAACGGGUGAGUAACGCGUAGGUAACCUGCCUAUUAGCGGGGGAUAACUAUUGGAAACGAUAGCUAAUACCGCAUAAUAUUAAUUAUUGCAUGAUAAUUGAUCGAAAGAUGCAAGCGCAUCACUAGUAGAUGGACCUGCGUUGUAUUAGCUAGUUGGUAAGGUAAGAGCUUACCAAGGCGACGAUACAUAGCCGACCUGAGAGGGUGAUCGGCCACACUGGGACUGAGACACGGCCCAGACUCCUACGGGAGGCAGCAGUAGGGAAUCUUCGGCAAUGGACGAAAGUCUGACCGAGCAACGCCGCGUGAGUGAAGAAGGUUUUCGGAUCGUAAAGCUCUGUUGUAAGUCAAGAACGUGUGUGAGAGUGGAAA